GGCGCACGGGUGAGUAACACGUGGACAACCUGCCUUCGAGUGGGGAAUAACCUUCCGAAAGGAGGGCUAAUACCGCAUAACACCUCGGGACACAAGUUCUGGGGUUGAAAAGAGCAAUUUGCUCGAAGAGGGGUCCGCGCCUGAUUAGCUAGUUGGUGGGGUAACGGCUCACCAAGGCUUCGAUCAGUAGCCGUCCUGAGAGGGAGCACGGCCACACUGGAACUGAGACACGGUCCAGACUCCUACGGGAGGCAGCAGUGGGGAAUUUUUGGCAAUGGGCGCAAGCCUGACCAAGCAACGCCGCGUGGGUGAUGAAGUAUCUUGGUACGUAAAACCCUUUCGGCAGGGACGAACCUAAUGACGGUACCUGCGGAAGAAGCCCCGGCUAACUCCGUGCCAGCAGCCGCGGUAAUACGGGGGGGGCAAGCGUUGUUCGGAAUUACUGGGCGUAAAGGGCGCGUAGGCGGUUGGAUAAGUCAGCUGUGAAAACCACGGGCUUAACUCGUGGCCUGCAGUUGAGACUGUCUGGCUUGAGUGUGGGAGAGGAGAGUGGAAUUCCUGGUGUAGCGGUGAAAUGCGUAGAUAUCAGGAGGAACACCGGUGGCGAAGGCGGCUCUCUGGACCACAACUGACGCUGAGGCGCGAAAGCUAGGGGAGCAAACAGGAUUAGAUACCCUGGUAGUCCUAGCUGUAAACGAUGGAUACUUGCUGUGGGGGGUGUUAAAUCCCCC
rnacentral:rRNA from 1 species